rnacentral:rRNA from 1 species
GGCGGCGUGCCUAACACAUGCAAGUCGAACGCGAAAGCCCCUUCGGGGGUAAGUAGAGUGGCGUCCGGGUGAGUAACACGUGGGUAAUCUGCCUUCGGGUGGGGAAUAACCAGUCGAAAGAUUGGCUAAUACCGCAUAAUGCAGCGGCACCUAAUGGUGAUUAGUUGUUAAAGCGGGGGAUCGCAAGACCUCGCGCCUGAAGAGGAGCCUGCGGCAGAUUAGCUAGUUGGUGAGGUAAUGGCUCACCAAGGCUUCGAUCUGUAGCUGGUCUGAGAGGACGGCCAGCCACACUGGCACUGACACACGGGCCAGACUCCUACGGGAGGCAGCAGUGGGGAAUUUUGGGCAAUGGGCGAAAGCCUGACCCAGCAACGCCGCGUGAGGGAGGAAAUCCUUCGGGAUGUAAACCUCNCAAGCAAGGGAAGANCGCUUCCGAUUUAAUAAAUCGGAAGUUCGACGGUACCUUGCGU